AAGUCGUAACAAGGUUUCCGUAGGUGAACCUGCGGAAGGAUCAUUAACACGUCUUUAUAUCCAAUAUAUAAACUAAACGCGAACAAAACCCCCGCCCUAUCAUUAUAAAUGGUCAAAGUUAAUGGAAUCGUUUGAUUCGAUUAAUUCCGACUGUUGAUAGGCAAUUUUAUCAACAAUCAUUUUAAACACUUAUAAUCUAGUUGAUCUAACUACUAAGACAUUCUAGUAUUCAUUCUUUCAGAGAUGAUUGUAUGAAUACUGCUUGUUGUUAUAUUACGAAAUGUAAGAACAACUCUUAGCAAUGGAUAUCUUGGUUCUC
rnacentral:misc_RNA from 1 species